rnacentral:rRNA from 1 species
AGUGAACGCUGGCGGUAGGCCUAACACAUGCAAGUCGAACGGCAGCACAGAGGAGCUUGCUCCUUGGGUGGCUAGUGGCGGACGGGUGAGGAGUACAUCGGAAUCUACUCUGUCGUGGGGGAUAACGUAGGGAAACUUACGCUAAUACCGCCUACGACCUACGGGUGAAAGCAGGGGAACUUCGGGCCUUGCGCGAUGGACAGAGCCGAGGUCGGAUUAGCUAGUUGGCGGGGUAAAGGCCCACCAAGGCGACGAUCCGUAGCUGGUCUGAGAGGAUGGUCAGCCACACUGGAACUGAGACACGGUCCAGACUCAUACGGGAGGCAGCAGUGGGGAAUAUUGGACAAUGGGCGAAAGCCUGAUCCAGCCAUACCGCGUGGGUGAAGAAGGCCUUCGGGUUGUAAAGCCCUUUUGUUGGGAAAGAAAUCCAGCUGGCUAAUACCCGGUUGGGAUGACGGUACCCAAAGAAUAAGCACCGGCUAACUUCGUGCCAGCCGCCGCGGUAA